GGCUGGUCCGAAGGUAGUGAGUUAUCUCACGUGAUUGUUCACAGUCAGUUACAGAUUUAACUCCUUGUUCUACUACUUUCCCCCCUCCUCACUACUGCACUUGACUAGUCUUAA
rnacentral:Y_RNA from 1 species